rnacentral:rRNA from 1 species
AAGUUACUACUGUAAACCCCUUGUGAACCUUACCUAUGUUCUGUUGCCUCGGCGGGGCGGUCAGCGCCCCCCCUCUGAGAAGAGGGGAAACGAUGCCCCCCCGCCGGCAGCACCAAACUCUUGAAUUUUAUAGCGGAUUACAACCUCUGAUUGGAAAACAAAAAACAAAUCAAAACUUUCAACAACGGAUCUCUUGGUUCUGGCAUCGAUGAAGAACGCAGCGAAAUGCGAUAAGUAAUGUGAAUUGCAGAAUUCAGUGAAUCAUCGAAUCUUUGAACGCACAUUGCGCCCGGCAGUAAUCUGCCGGGCAUGCCUGUCCGAGCGUCAUUUCAACCCUCGAACCUCUGUUUCCCAGCGAAGCUCAGGGUCGGCGUUGGGGCGCUACGGCGAGUCUUCGCGACCCCGUAGGCCCUGAAAUACAGUGGCGGUCCCGCCGCGGUUGCCUUCUGCGUAGUAAAAGUCUUCUUUUGCAAGCUUCGCAUUGGGUCCCGGCGGAGGCCUGCCGUCAAACCACUAAUUCUAUCAAGAUGGUUUGACCUCGGAUCAGGUAGGGUUACCCGCUGAACUUAAGCAUAUCAAUAAGCGGAGGAA